rnacentral:rRNA from 1 species
GACGAACGCUGGCGGCGUGCCUAAUACAUGCAAGUAGAACGCUGAAGGAGGAGCUUGCUUCUCUGGAUGUGUUGCGCACGGGUGAGUAACGCGUAGGUAACCUGCCUGGUAGCGGGGGAUAACUCUUGGAAACGAUAGCUAUUACCGCAUAAUAGUAUAUGUUGCAUGACAUUUGCUUAAAAGGUGCAAUUGUAUCACUACCAGUUGGACCUGCGUUGUAUUAGCUAGUUGGUGGGGUAACGGCUCAACAAGGCGACGAUACAUAGCCGACCUCAGAGGGGGAUCGGCCACACUGGGACUGGAACAAGGCCCAGAAUCCUACGGGAGGCAGCAGUAGGGAAUCUUCGGCAAUGGACGGAAGUCUGACCGAGCAACGCCGGGUGAGGGAAGAAGGUUUUCGGAUCGUAAAGCUCUGUUGUAAGAGAAGAACGAGUGGGAGAGUGGAAAGUUCACACUGUGACGGUAUCUUACCAGAAAGGGACGGCUAACUACGUG